GUGGGGAAUUUUGCGCAAUGGGGGAAACCCUGACGCAGCAACGCCGCGUGAGUGAUGAAGGCCUUCGGGUCGUAAAGCUCUGUCAGAGGGGAAGAAGUGUGGGGUGGCUAAUAUCCAUUUCACUUGACGGUACCUGCAAAGGAAGCACCGGCUAACUCCGUGCCAGCAGCCGCGGUAAUACGGAGGGUGCGAGCGUUGUUCGGAAUUAUUGGGCGUAAAGCGCGUGUAGGCGGUUUUUUAAGUCUGAUGUGAAAGCCCUGGGCUCAACCCGGGAAGUGCAUUGGAAACUGGGAGACUUGAAUACGGGAGAGGGCAGUGGAAUUCCUGGUGUAGGAGUGAAAUCCGUAGAUAUCAGGAGGAACACCGGUGGCGAAGGCGGCUGCCUGGACCGAUAUUGACGCUGAGACGCGAAAGCGUGGGGAGCAAACAGGAUUAGAAACCCUAGUAGUCC
rnacentral:rRNA from 1 species